GGGAAAUAGCCCAUAUGAGGCAUGUGGCUCAUUUUAUUGCUAUCAGAUGUCCCCGCCUGGCAGGACAGACAUCUGUACGUGGUGCUACAAGAGAAGAAUUGGGGAGGCAGGCCACCUUCAGGCGGAGAAGUAGCACCCCUGGGAGACAGCCUGAGAGCAAGAACAUUCCAAUGCUUGUUUCUCUGGCCAGUUUCCCAGUCCUCUCUCCCUGACGGGUCUCUGGAUCUUCAUUGCCUCUCCCUUCUCACAGUACUGCGGUCCCCAACUUGGUGUCCACCCAGCAGCCACUCUGUUCUCAGUAAUGAACUUCUGAGGCGGCAGGAACAACCAGCCUGGCUUAUUAGGCACACAGACCUGUCCGUACCUGCGACAUGCAAGGUGCCCUGAGAAAUGCAACAGAGCAAAAAGCUUGCCAUCUGCUUUCCUCGACUGCUAGUAAACUGGCUUCAGUUAGGUUUUAUCUUUCUUGGAGAAAACUCUAGAAAGUUCAGGAAGAUCCUGCACUUUCUCUGUGAGCCCCUCCUGCAUCUGCUGGGCUCACCAUGUGUGUAACAGUCAAUUUCAUACCCAACACGCCCGCCCUCUCCCAGCAUGCCGGCGCUCCUUCCCCAGCUCCGUGUGCGGCCAGUUCCCGACCCCUGCGCAGGAGAGAACCGUCAUGGUGGAUUUUGUUUUUUUCCUUUUAGCACCCUGCUGAUUCUAUUGGCAAAUAUUUUGUUAAGA